GGAGGUCCAGACUUGAAGAGUUUCCUUCGGCAAUUUCCAUCUGGUUCAGAAGGUACUUUAUUCUUUCAUUUUUGUUGCUGUCCAGGAUUCUGUGUUAAGGCUACUGAAAUUCAUCAUUUGAUUGAAAGGAGUUCCUGAACAAUCAAUCAGUUGUCAAGUGGCCUGUUAUUAUUCUUGGCGCUCCAAGAAAACAUCAGAGCCGAAUUCUAGUAUAUAUUUUCCACCUUUAAUAUUUAGAUAAAGGGUUCAUGUAGCAAAACUUUCUGAUAUUGGUUCAAGCAUAGUGGAGGUGUGACAGAGGUAAGUGGCAAUUUAAGAAAUUAAACUUAAUAAUACAUACGAUGUACCAUGAACUAUGCCCCUUUUCCCACAACGAUAAUUUUGAUCAGUACAAAAGCUCAAAGUAAAUCCUGAAUAUUUUGAAGUGCAAUGAAUGCUAGACUUUAGAUGACCUUACUGGUCUAUGUAAUUUAUUGGUUUUUGGCUCAAAUCUCCAUCUAAUAUGCAAGGCAGGAAACUAAACUGGGCACAUGUUAAUUCUUCUUUCUUGUUCUUGGUUUGGCCUUUGGUACUGAAACUGUUUUUAUCUUCUCUUGGUUGUUUCUUAUAGGUGACAAACGUCAAGAACCUACUGGUGCAAAAGAUGGUGAAAGGUGGGUCAGUUAAAAUAUUUAUUUAUAUUGUGCAAAUUUACUUAGAUAGAUUUACCAUAACUGAGGUUUGUAGCAUUUGCGAGAGUGGUUUGUUUAAGGUGUUGUAAGAAAUCUGGCAUUUUGUUCUCUGUCGAUAUUUUCUUUCUGCUGUCUAGUAGGGGAUGCCCUUUGCCCUCUCGACACCUCAUAUUAGCUCUAACAUCAUGUAAUAUAUCUGCAGGACCAAGGAAACAGAGACAGAGGAAGCAAAACCAGUGCCAGAGUGAGUUUGAUGACCUCUUGAUUUUAUCUUUUAUUUUCUCACAGAACCAAAAAAUAUACCAAAUGUUUUUAAGUCAUUUCCACAAUUUACCAUGAAUUCACUACACUAGCUUGGCAAAGCAAUAUCUUAAAUUUAGACCUUACUUUCAGGUAUUCGGAGCCAACAGGAUCUGGCAAAUCCUUCAGGCCAGGGACGUGGCAACCACCAACAUGAUAACUGUGACACCGCAACAGACUCCACUGAUACCAUCCUGUCGCCCUCACCAUGAAGCUUCGGGCUCAAUUAACACCUUAACCGGAUUCAGCUUUUCUGAUGAAAUGCAUCAUUGUCCAAUGAAGUUUAAUAGUUUAUGGUGCAACCCUCUUGAGAGUCACAUUCUUUAUCGCGCAAAUGUUGUUUCUGUUCCGAAACUGUCUUCAGAAAAUUUUUUAGGGGGCUGACAUUUCUCUUGAAUGUAUAAUUUGAUGGAGAUAACAACCUUAAGAUUUUGCAUGUUAUGAUGUUACUGGGGUUGCGAAAAGGAGGAUGUUGAGAUUUUGGCUUUUGGCUUUUGGCUUUCGUCAUGAUUAAUAACUAAUAAAUUGUUGUCUAAAGUCUCUCUCCAAAGGGCCCUUGGCCUUUGCCUUUCCUUUUCCCUUUCUUUUAACUGCAAUAUUAUUUGAAGGUUCCACACAAUGGCUGAAGUGAAGAGACGGGAUAAAAAGGUUGAGCUACACUCUUCAUGUCAAGUUUCCUGUGAGUGUGAUCGAAAUGAAGCACUGCACGGUGUGCAGCACGCUCGAUGUUUGAGAGUAUGACUGGUCCCGCCCACAUAGGAACUGGAGCAUGCUAGAAAGAAUCCAGAUAAAAGCAGCCACCUGUCAAGAAGAACAAUGCAGCCACUUGGCAUAAUUCGGCCAAUUCCGAGUAUUACAUGAAUCACAUUUCUAGAUGCCGCGUGCCGCGUGUAGUACCUUGUCACCUUCACAGCUUCACUCUCAUUUUGAUCUCACCUUGUCCUUUAAUUAGAUUUUGAAAGAAUAUAAAUCUUCUCUUGGUUGUUUCUUAUAGGUGACAAACGUCAAGAACCUACUGGUGCAAAAGAUGGUGAAAGGUGGGUCAGUUAAAAUAUUUAUUUAUAUUGUGCAAAUUUACUUAGAUAGAUUUACCAUAACUGAGGUUUGUAGCAUUUGCGAGAGUGGUUUGUUUAAGGUGUUGUAAGAAAUCUGGCAUUUUGUUCUCUGUCGAUAUUUUCUUUCUGCUGUCUAGUAGGGGAUGCCCUUUGCCCUCUCGACACCUCAUAUUAGCUCUAACAUCAUGUAAUAUAUCUGCAGGACCAAGGAAACAGAGACAGAGGAAGCAAAACCAGUGCCAGAGUGAGUUUGAUGACCUCUUGAUUUUAUCUUUUAUUUUCUCACAGAACCAAAAAAUAUACCAAAUGUUUUUAAGUCAUUUCCACAAUUUACCAUGAAUUCACUACACUAGCUUGGCAAAGCAAUAUCUUAAAUUUAGACCUUACUUUCAGGUAUUCGGAGCCAACAGGAUCUGGCAAAUCCUUCAGGCCAGGGACGUGGCAACCACCAACAUGAUAACUGUGACACCGCAACAGACUCCACUGAUACCAUCCUGUCGCCCUCACCAUGAAGCUUCGGGCUCAAUUAACACCUUAACCGGAUUCAGCUUUUCUGAUGAAAUGCAUCAUUGUCCAAUGAAGUUUAAUAGUUUAUGGUGCAACCCUCUUGAGAGUCACAUUCUUUAUCGCGCAAAUGUUGUUUCUGUUCCGAAACUGUCUUCAGAAAAUUUUUUAGGGGGCUG
rnacentral:lncRNA from 1 species